CUGGCUCAGGAUGAACGCUGGCGGCGUGCCUAACACAUGCAAGUCGAACGGGGUUAAGGGAAAUUUCGGAUGGAACUUAACUAGUGGCGGACGGGUGAGUAACGCGUGGAUAACCUGCCUCACACUGGGGGAUAGCAGCUGGAAACGGCUGGUAAUACCGCAUAAGACCCCGGUGCCGCAUGGCACUGAGGUAAAAGAUUUAUCGGUGUGAGAUGGAUCCGCGUCUGAUUAGCCAGUUGGCGGGGUAACGGCCCACCAAAGCGACGAUCAGUAGCCGGCCUGAGAGGGUGAACGGCCACAUUGGGACUGAGACACGGCCCAAACUCCUACGGGAGGCAGCAGUGGGGAAUAUUGCACAAUGGGCGCAAGCCUGAUGCAGCAAACCGCCGCGUGAGUGAAGAAGUAUUUCGGUAUGUAAAGCUCUAUCGGCAGGGAAGAAAGGCCCGAAAGGGAGAUGACGGUACCUGACUAAGAAGCCCCGGCUAACUACGUGCCAGCCGCCGC
rnacentral:rRNA from 1 species